AAAUCCAGCUUACCAUCUUGCCGCUGUGGGAGUAAUUCCCCCCACCGGUUCUUGGGUAUUUGAUUGCCGUUUUGAAAGCGAACAUUGCCUUGUUUGUUUUUGACGAAGCUCGGAGCGUGUGUGAGCGGUACGGAUCGGAAACAUGAAGUGAAGAAACCAAGGGUUCUGCCUGGGAAAUCGCCUGUGCAUAAUGAGACGACCUGCUCUGCCAUUCUCAAUGCUUCGACGCAGUUGGUUCCAGCGUGCGUAUUAUUUUAACAUUGAUACAUAUGUAAAAGGUAAAGGGUGGGGAUAGUGUAUCAUUACACCGUUUUCAACCAUCCCGCAACCAUUCUACAACCAUUCUCAAUAUGACAAAGCACCUUCAAUGUAUCCAGGCAUGUCUAUAUUUAUUUAUAGACCACUCAGGCUUUUAUGUGCUCUUUAGUAGAGCUCAUACUCUUUGGCCCAUUUUUGCAUUAAAUUCGAUGGGGGAAUUCUUUUCAGUCUCCGAAAUGUGGACAAUUUCACUCAUAUUGUCGGACUGUCUUCUUUGUUGCAUUUUUUUCAUUGAAAAUACUCCGAAUAAAUGUAUGUUAACUGGCUAAAUGUAUCAUUAGGAUUAAUUAUGUUAUUUUAAUGUUAAGUGAGACAAACCUUGGUUGUAAAUGUCAAAUAAAAGUCUGAAUUCUGAGUUCCCAUGAAUCUCAGUGCCAUAAUGUUGUACAAUUGGACCAAAUAAACCAAGAAAUGCCAUAGCCAUGUCUCAUUGUCUCAAUGUCAUGCUGUCCAUAUUGUGUUAUAUGUCGCUCUGGAUAAGAGCGUCUGCUAAAUGACUUAAAUGUAAUGUAAAUGUAAAUAUUUGUAGAAUGUCAAUGACGCCACACAUUCAUUUAGUCAUUAUCUGGUGACAGUUGGUAAAUAUUAUGUAAACUAUUAAAUGAAUGAUUCUGUUUUCAUAUACAACAUAUCUGUCUUCAUAUUGGGUCUACCAUGUUUAAGUAUCAAGGUGAAGGGCAUAUGGAGAGCAAUGGACAAACACAAUGAAGUCACAGGGCCUAUGGAGAGCAAUGGACAAACACAAUGAAGUCACAGGGCCUAUGGAGAGCAAUGGACAAACACAAUGAAGUCACAGGGCCUAUGGAGAGCAAUGGACAAACACAAUGAAGUCACAGGGCCUAUGGAGAGCAAUGGACAAACACAAUGAAGUCACAGGGCCUAUGGAGAGCAAUGGACAAACACAAUGAAGUCACACCAAAACAUCGGAAUAACUAAGAAAGCCAGUAACUUUACUGAAUUCUCUGCAAAAUACAAAUACCUUUCCCCAGCAGAAUAAACUUUUAUUUCACGUUCCAUGCUUUUUCACUACAUACAGGUGAAUCAAGUCCCGAGAGAUACAGAGAUGUGGUUUUAAUUGAAUAACAUCGUAUCUUCAAGUUGCGACAAAGGCCAGCUUAUGCCGCUGAAAGCCGCUCUUGCGUUCCAAACACUAAUUUCAGACAGCCACAAUUUUCAGAUUUAUACAAGCUACAUGAGAUACUACAGACUGGUAAGUAUUUUUAGCUAUUCACACACACACACACACACACACACACACACACACACACACACACACACACACACACACACACACACACACACACACACACACACACACACACACACACACACACACA